UGGAUAGGUUAUUAUAUUCGACUGUAUUCACGGCGUGAAACAGGGGAUUACACUGUUUUUAAACGGAAAGUGAAUCAAUUAACAUAAUAGACUCCU
rnacentral:pre_miRNA from 1 species